AUGGCUGAGAUUGUGCUUCUUCUAGUAAUUGAGAAGAUCGGAGUCGCCUUGGCAAAUGGAGCAGUACAUCAAGCCAGUGCACAGUUUUUCAGGUACGCGACCCGACUAAUAGUGCUAUAGGGCAGCAUGGGUCGCGUUAUUAGGGAGCUUUGCAUAAUUCAUGAUGUUCUAUGACAAAUGGACAUUCGAAACCGCCACAAUCAAGUGUAUAAGGGCUGGUUGGAUGAGGUGCGGAAGGUAGCACAUGCGAUGGAGGAUAUGGUGGAUGAGUACAUAUAUCAAGUUGGUCGGGAACAUGAUACUGGGUGUUGUUUUUACCUGAAGACAGGGCUUAGAAAACCAAGAUCUCUAUUUUCCUUGAAUCAUAUAUCUUCCAAAGUGAAGAAAAUUGAGAAAGACCUUGCACACCUACCAGAGAUGAAAAACCGAUGGGUUCCCGUGAUAGACCAAGAAGAUACUAGCAACUUGAAUUACAUGAUCAAGAAGUCUCAAGAUCUAGCAAACAUUUCACGUUCCCUUGAUGACCAAGAUCUAGUUGGGGUGGAUGAAAACAGAAGUAAACUUGAGCAAUGGUUGGGAAGUGAUGAUGGGGAAUGUUCACUGGUAGGAAUGAGUGGGCUGGGCAAAACAGCUUUAGCUUCAAAUAUCUAUAGGAAAGAGAGAGAGAAAUUUCAGUGCCAUGCAUGGGUCUCCAUCUCUCAAACUUAUUCUAGAGAAGAUGUCUUGAGGAAUAUAAUGAAGGAACUAUUCAAAGAUAAAGUCAGUGGUCGAUCAAACAUUGCAGCGAUGGAUACAUCACAAGCCUUGAAGAGACAUUAA
rnacentral:rRNA from 1 species